GGCGCUGUGGGCUGGGGCACUGAUUGCCUAAAUUUUUUUGCAGACUUGUUUCCAGAGAGCUCGGGCUGGAAGGAAGCGACUUCCUGAAGAAAGACGACUUAGAGGAGGAAAUUCAUCAGCGUCCGAUUACACGAUUCCUCUUUACAGAAAUCUCCACAAGCCCCAAAUGGCACAGGCACCUGGACUCCAAAUGGCAGCGGGGAGUUAGUCCCUCAGCACAGAUGGCUGGCUCUUUGGUUCCUUUUCCUCGUGGGCUGUGGGCUUCCCCUGGAUCCACUCCUCAGGCAGCUGUCCUCAGCCAGGCUGUGCACAGCCUGUGUUCUUCAUCCAGACAUGCUAGGCAGGAACAACCAGCCUCACACUUCACUGUCAGCAGCAGAUUUGGUGAGACAACUUGGGUUUUUUGUUUUGUGUUCUUUCAAGAUAGGGAUUCUCUGUGUAUCUUUGGAGCCUGUCCUGGAACUCACUCUGUAGA